rnacentral:tRNA from 1 species
GGAGCCGUGCCUGAACUCAAAGGGCCACUUUGAUAGAGUGAAUAAUGAGGGUUAAAAUCCCUCCGCCUCCU